CGAGAGAAACGAAAGUGGAAGGUAGUCAGCAGCAUCGCCAUAGACUUUGCUGCGUUCACUCUGAAAUGUCCGAGUUGCUAACUGGUUAUAGUUAUACACGAGCCCGCGGAAAUGUACGAGUUUCCUAGUUCUGAUUAGCACUUGAACGCGGCAUCAGUCUAUACGUGACGCUGACAACUUUUCACUUUCGGUUUUCUCCAAAUGCAUAGUACCACCAUACCUCAGUGGUGACGACCGUAUUUUCAACAAACCGACAACCCGAUAUAGGUAAGUUUGGUUCAAAUGACAACUUUUUGAAGGAAAAUAAAAACAUGCUUGCUGUUAAUGCAUAAUAACUUACCUCAAAAGUAUAUUUUCAGUGUUUUCUUAGUGAAAAACGGGAGAGUGAAAUUGGGAAUCGGAUUACAAUAUUGCCAAACAUAAAUCACAUUGAGAGAACGUAGGUAACUCAGAUCCAUACAGUUCAUUUAAUGCAAUAACAUUACCUGCUGUCAAUAGAAUUUCAGUUACAUUCCAGUUCUUCACGUUACACUGCUAAGUACCACAGACCAGAGUUUUUUAUGAUCUUUCGAGUUGCUAUGUGUCAAUAUAUAUAUAUAUAUUCAAAAACCCUUACCGUGUACCUACUGUAUGUUUUUGCGUGCCGUUCUUUGUAUUCUGAAAUCCAUACAUUUUAAUAAAACGUUAAUCAAUCAAAUAUAACCACCGACUGUACUUCUUCAGGAUUUGGUUGGCAGAUCGCAUCCAACUUUUAUAGUUGUAUACACCGCCACCUACUGUACUGGUGUGUGAUGCCAUUCACGACUUAUCUACAUUCAAUUCUUGAUACGGUAAUACAACAUUGGGAAAAAGGAAAAUUGCCCUGCCAACUAAUAGCCCUCACAACAACAACAAAAAACACCACCCCUUCCACUAUUUAACCCGAUCUAAACUUCUAUUUUCUGUGACUUCUGAUCCAUUUCUGCAGUAUAAUUGACAACCAUGGCUAUGAAUGCUAAAAAGCCCACCUUACUGAAGCACAUAUUCUUCCCAUCACUCUCUUGGUCUCUGCCUACUCACAGGAAUCCUCUCAGUAUCCCUCACCCUGUAACCGUCUUCCUCUAUCACUCAAAUCAAAUUGUAUUGGUCGCAUACAUAUGUUAUUGCAGGUGUAACAAAAUGCUUGUGUUCCUAGCUCCAACAGUGCAGUAAUAUCUAACAAUACACACAAAUCUAAAAGUAAAAUAAUGGUAUUAACAAAUAUAGAAAUAUUAGGAUGAGCAAUGUCUGAGUCCAAAGUGUGUGUGUGUGUGUGUGUGUGUGUGUAUGUAUGUAUAUAUAUAUAUGUGUGUAUAUAUAUAUGUGUAUAUAUAUAUAUAUAUAUAUAUAUACACAAACAAAGGUAUGUGGACACCCCUUCAAAUGACUGGUUUUAGCUAUUUUAGCCACACCCAUUGCUGAUGUGUAUAAAAUUGAGGACACCACCAUGCAAUCUCCAUAGACAAACAUUGGCAGAAGAAUGGUCUUACUGAAGAGCUCAGUGACUUUCAACGUGGCACCGUCAUAGGAUGCCACCUUUCCAACAAGUCAGUUUGUCAAAUUUCUGCCUUGCUAGAGCUGCCCCGCUCAACUGUAAGUGCUGUUAUUGUGAAGUGGAAACAUCUAGGAGCAACAACGGCUCAGCCGCGAAGUGGUAGGCCACACAAGCUCACAGAACGGGACCGCCGAGUGCUGAUGCAUAUAGAGCGUAAAAAUUGUCUGUCCUCGUUGGCAACACUCACUACCGAGUUCCAAACUGCCUUUGGAAGCCACGUCAGCACAAUAACUGUUCGUCAGGAGCUUCAUGAAAUGGGUUUCCAUGGCCGAGCAGCUACACCCAAGCCUAAGAUCACCAUGUGCAAUGCCAAGCGUCAGCUGGAGUGGUGUAAAGCUCGACGACUUUGGACUCUGGAGCAGUGGAAACUCGUUCUCUUGAGUGAUGAAUCACGCUUCACCAUCUGGCAGUCCGACAGAUGAAUCUGGGUUUUGCGGAUACCAGGAGAACGCUACCUGCCCUAAGUGCUUAGCGCCAACUGUAAAGUUUGGUGGAGGAGGAAUAAUUGUCUGGGGCUGUUUUUCAUGGUUCGGACUAGGCCUCUUAUUUCCAGUGAAGGGAAAUCUUAAUGCCACAGCAUAAAAUUAUAUUUUAGACGAUUCUGUGCUUCCAACUUUGUGGAAACAGUUUGGGGAAGGUCCUUUCCUGUUUCAGUAUAACAAUGCCCACGUGCACAAAGCGAGGUCCAUACAGAAAUGGUUUGUCGAGAAUGGUGUGGAAUAAGUUGACUUCCCUGACCUCAACCACAUCGAACACCUUUGGGAUGAAUUGGAAGGCCGACUGCAAGCCAGGCCUAAUCGCCCAACAUCAGUGCCUGAUCCUCACUAAUGCUCGUGACUAAAUAGAAGCAAGUCCCCGCAGCAAUGCUCCAACAUCUAGUGGAAACCCUUCCCAGAAGAGAGGAGGCUGUUAUAGCAGCAAAGGGGGGACCAACUCCAUGUUAAUGCCCAUGAUUUUGGAAUGAGAUGUUUGACGAGCAGGUGUCCACAUACUUUUGGUCAUGUAGUGUGUGUGUGUGUGUGUGUGUGUGUGUGUGUGUGUGUGUGUGUGUGUAUAAUAUGGCUGCUCUAAAUUCUUUUGACCAGCAGGUGCCACUAGUGUACACUGUGUUGAUCAAAGCCUCGAGUAAUGAACCUAGUUGACACAAUUGGCUGAAAAACCUCAACGCUUCCGAAUGAUUCGUGUCCAUCACUAGUUAUUGACGCAUAGCGACUCAAAGGAGUCAGAGGUUAAUAUAAAAAAACUCUAGUCUGCUCUCAACUCCGUGAGAGGCCGGCAGAUUGCGAUAUUGAGUCGUUUCGUCUUACCGUCCAAAUGGAACUUAUGCAGCCGGCUAUACACUCGCAUCUAGGGCCCUAUAAAAUCCACAUUGUGGACAGAAUCACGUAAUCCAGACAUUAAAAUAGAAUUCAACCAUAUUUAAAAAAAAAUGGACUUUGUAGGAAAUCAACAAAAACAAUUGGACUUAUUGGAAAAUGCAUUAAUUUGCGAAGUGAGUCGUAAGACAUUAACAAAAUACAUCAGUGAUUUGUAUUUUCAUGGAACUUUCUGAAACGGCACAAGAAUGCCACAGUCUGUGUGUAUUUGCACACUUGUCUACACUUUGCACAUCCGUUAGCGAUGAUUCUAAUGAUAACCUUCUGUUAGAAACGGAAAGGCUUUCCCAAAAACCUUCUCAAAUGAAUGUUAAUUAACCUACCUAGCAGAAUGAUUAUUUGCUUCAAACCAGGUGGCCAUUUUACAAACUCUGCAAUCACAUGAGUGCUACAGAAACACUGCUUAGCCAAACAAUGGUCUCUUCCUGGUGCACACUUGGUGCACACAAUAUCUUUCUUUUUUUUCCAGACCUCUAAAAUGGUCUCCUGAUGUGGUUUAAACAUUGUUGUGGACUUAAAACAUUCUAUUCUGAAAUGUUUUCUUUUUGAAACCUGAAACUAAAACGGGGGAAAUGGAUAUCUGGAAAAACUGAAUGGAAUUUGGGGGAAAAAAUAAACGGAAUCAGGUAAAAAAUGAAACAGAUUUUAUAGGGCCCUACUACGUAUCCCCUGUGGACCGGAUGGUACAUAAAACAUUCUGCAUUCAGGCUGCAACGCCAUCCAUUUCCUCCUUAUUAACUCGAGUUAAUGUCUAGAAGGUGGGAAAAAAACAUGGAAAAUAUGCCAACUUUCUUUACGAAACACCAUUUUCCACCUCCAUGCUGGAUUAGCUAAUACUAGUCCCGGAUGUUACAUAUCACAUUCAGCCAAUCAGGUUACAGCAGUCUGAUAGGUUGUAGUUUAAAAAUAAGACUGCUGAGGUGGUGUCACCUGUGGUCAUUGCUCACCUCUAUGUCCUUUUGUCAGUAUAGUCAUGGAGGGAACAUCCGUGGAGGUUCUUGGCGUUCCCGACGAUAUCCUUGCCACUGUUAGAAUGGUCGACAAGCUCACAAUACACUUCCAACGACCAAGGAACGGGGGAGGAGAGGUGAAGAGAGUACAGUUUCCAGCCUACAGCCCAGGACAGGCCUUUGUCAUAUUUGAGGAACCAGAAGUGGCUGCUCGUGUUUUGCAGGAGACCCAUGUCUUAGAAGUGGAUGGACAACACUUUCCUCUUAAAAUCAGGAAAGCUGACAGGCCUGAGGUGGACAUGCCAGUCAAGGCCAAUCUGGAUGUGAGCAUGUUCUCCAUUGACAGCGAGAAGGCGCUCCAGCCUGUGAACGAGAUUCCCCAUGGUCAGCUACCCAUUCAGGGCUCCUUCCAACUGCAGCAGGUCUUACCCCAGGACACAAACACCCUGCGCCACAGCAGCCCUUCCCCAUCCAGUCUCAAUAGCCAUGCCUCUGGGGCCAUUUCCAAAUCCUCAAUCCGCUGCAACCCAUUUCCCAGCCGACAAGCAACGGGGUAUGUUGGGGACAACUUGACCCAUAUGAGGAACCCAUCCCCCAAGCCAGUGGAACCCAUCUCCCAGACCCAAUCUUGCAGUGAGGUCUUCUUCAUAACAGACGCAGAUGUGCUCAGUUAUGCCCUGUGCGUCAGGAAAAAGGACAUUGAUUCCAUUCUUGUAGGCCACACAACUCAAAUGGAUGUUAAGCCAGCUGACAGUUCAGACCUCCGCUAUGUUUUCCUUAAAGGGAAGAGUCCAGAGAGGGUUAUGGAAAAGCUGCAAGUUUUUCUCACCAAGCUUCAUUUAAGACUACGAACUCAAGAAAUCCCACUAUGGACACUCGAUCGCGACCGACAGGUUAGAAUUCAUGAACUGGUUCAGAAGUAUAAUAUAAUUUAUCCCACUGUCCUCGUCAAUCAGGUUGGAGAUCUCCUCCGCCUUGUAGGACCUUCCAAGGAAAGUUAUGAGAUGAAGCAGAGGCUCCUGGGAAAACCCAUACACCUGCUACCAGCUGGGCUAACAGGGAGGGUACUGGACAGGAGUGCCCAUAGUGCUCCUGGCCCAGUACCUGACCCUGUGUCUGCUACUGCACCAGAUUACUAGUAAAUUAACUACAUUUUGCAGUAGCUUGGUGGUAGUGGAGCUAAAUUCAAAUCUAGAUAGUGUUUGCAGUAGUUCAUUACUUGUUGUCAUGUAGCAGUGUAGCUAACUACUGGAACUACAUAUUACGUUUUAGCCAUGUAGUGGUGUAGCUAACUACUGGAACUACAUAUUACGUUUUAGCCAUGUAGCGGUGUAGCUAACUACUGGAACUACACACUACAUUUUAGCCACGUAGCGGGGUAGCUAACUACUGGAACUACACACUACAUUUUAGCCGUGUAGCGGUGUAGCUAACUACAGGAACUACACACUACAUUUUAGCUGUGUAGCUAACUACUGGAACUACACACUACAUUUUUGGCUAAAAUAAAAUGAGUGAAGUAGGCCAUCAUUUCCAUUUUUUGGCAUCAGACCAACCUGUUUCUCACUUGAAACAUAGUUUUUGUGUUUAGGCUAAAUUACACAUUCUGUUAAUAUAUGACCCCAAAGUGAUCUCUUGCAAUUUGUAGUCUGACAUUUCAGAUUUAGAUAUGAUACUUUUUCAAAAAGUAGUUUGGAUGUAGUGAACUACUUUUUCAAAAUAACUUUAAGUAAACAAUUUUUCUUAACUUCUUCCAGUGUGAGGUAAUUGGUAGCUUGCUAAACUAUCUUAUCUGAGUAGCUUUCCCAACACAGCAAAAUACCAGGGUGAGCCUGGCUCUCGUUCAUCCCAGGCAAAGCUAUUCUCUGUCCUGGCACCCAAAUGGUGGAACAAGCUUCCAGUUCUCCCUAAAAAUCAGGACAGCUGAGUCACAGCCCAUCUUCCGAAAACAUCUGAAAAGCCACCUCUUCAGUAUCUUUAACACCCUUGUUGACACCUACCACUACUCUUUUCUUACUCGCUUUGAUCAUUCAUUGAGGAAAAAUGUACUGACUAUGACUGUGUCAUGUGGUUGUCUCACCUAGCGAUCUUAAGAUAGAUGCACAAACUGUGCAGUGACUCUGGAUAAGAGCGUCUGCUGAAUGACAAAAAUGUCAUGUUUAAUGAACAUGGAAGGGUUGUACAAGGGGCUACAGUAGGCGCUGUGCCCUCUACACCCACUCCCAUUCACAGGGGAAGAAGUCACUCUGAUUCCCCGGCGAAAAUAAAAGAGCUUAGAGUUACACGGGAGGUCUUGAGGCAUGUAAGGUCAGAUGAUGUGGUGGUGCCCUCUGCUGGAACUCAAAUGCCAGUGGUGAAAAAGAAGUUCCAAAAUGUCCUACUAACAAUAGAAUGGAAGAAUGUGCUUUCAAUCAAGAAAAAGCCCUAGCAGGUUACUAGUUAGAUACAGACACCUGUAAUGAAAGUGGCUUGGCCUGUUUAUUUCUUGAAUGUCUUUAAUUUCAUAAUAUGAUGUGGGGUAAAAUGUUCAAUUCACAUGUAUACACAUUUUGUUUUGUAAGAUUUUUUUCUUCUUGGACAAAUUCAUUUCUGUAUUUUCUAAUAUUUUCUUUCUCAUGAUAUGAAUCUAUUCUAAAUGUGGUUUAUUUUUGUUUUGAGCGAUUGAGGGCAAUAAAAAUAUAUUAUAUUUGUGUUAAUUGAUCCUUUAAAUAUAUGCUGAUGCAAAGGCUGGUAACUAUA
rnacentral:lncRNA from 1 species